UGGGGAAUCUUGCACAAUGGGCGAAAGCCUGAUGCAGCGACGCCGCGUGCGGGACGAAGGCCUUCGGGUUGUAAACCGCUUUCAGCAAGGACGAGGCGAAAGUGACGGUACCUGCAGAAGAAGCCCCGGCUAACUACAUGCCACCAGCCGCGGUAAUACGUAGGGGGCAAGCGUUAUCCGGAUUCAUUGGGCGUAAAGCGCUCGUACGCGGUCUGUUACGUCGGGAGUUAAAUCGGGAGGCUCAACCUCCGCCCGCUCCCGAUACCGGCAGACUUGAGUUUGGUAGGGGAAGGUGGAAUUCCUAGUGUAGCGGUGGAAUGCCCAGAUGUUACGAAGAACACCAUUGACGAAUGCGGCCUUCUGGGCCAUAACUGACGCUGACGAGCGAAAGCUAGGGGAGCAAACGCGAUUACAUACCCUGGUAGUCCUAUCUGUAAACGAUGGACACUACGUGUGGGAGAAUACGUCUUCCGUGCCGCAGCUAAUGCAUUAAGUGUCCCGCCUGGGGAGUACGGCCGCAAGGCUA
rnacentral:rRNA from 1 species